UGCCAGCAGCCGCGGUAAUACGAAGGGUGCUAGCGUUGUUCGGAAUUAUUGGGCGUAAAGCGCGUGUAGGCGGCUUGGCAAGUCGGUUGUGAAAGCCCGGGGCCCAACCCCGGAAUUGCAGCCGAAACUGCUUCGCUAGAGUCCCGGAGAGGAAGGCAGAAUUCCCGGUGUAGGGGUGAAAUCCGUAGAUAUCGGGAGGAAUACCAGUGGCGAAGGCGGCCUUCUGGACGGUGACUGACGCUGAGGUGCGAAAGCGUGGGGAGCAAACAGGAUUAGAUA
rnacentral:rRNA from 1 species